GACGAACGCUGGCGGCGUGCUUAACACAUGCAAGUCGUACGGUAAGGCCCUUUCGGGGGUACACGAGUGGCGAACGGGUGAGUAACACGUGAGUAACCUUCCCACAACUUUUGGAUAACGCUAGGAAACUGGUGCUAAUACUGGAUAUGUGCUCCUGCUGCAUGGUGGGGGUUGGAAAGCUCCUGGGGUUGUGGAUGGACUCGCGGCCUAUCAGCUUGUUGGUGGGGUAGUGGCCUACCAAGGCGGCGACGGGUAGCCGGCCUGCGAGGGUGACCGGCCACAUUGGGACUGAGAUAAGGCCCAGACGCCUACGGGAGGAAGAAGUGGGGAAUAUUGCACAAUGGGCGCAAGCCUGAUGCAGCAACGCCGCGUGCGGGAUGACGGCCUUCGGGUUGUAAACCGCUUUCAGCAGGGACGAAGCUUUUUGUGACGGUACCUGAAGAAGAAGCACCGGCUAACUACGUG
rnacentral:rRNA from 1 species